GACGAACGCUGGCGGCGUGCUUAACACAUGCAAGUCGAACGGAAAGGCCCUGCUUUUGUGGGGUGCUCGAGUGGCGAACGGGUGAGUAACACGGGAGUAACCUGCCCUUGACUUUGGGAUAACUUCAGGAAACUGGGGCUAAUAACGGAUAGGAGCUCCUGCUGCAUGGUGGGGGUUGGAAAGUUUCGGCGGUUGGGGAUGGACUCGCGGCUUAUCAGCUUGUUGGUGGGGUAGUGGCUUACCAAGGCUUUGACGGGUAGCCGGCCUGAGAGGGUGACCGGCCACAUUGGGACUGAGAUACGGCCCAGACUCCUACGGGAGGCAGCAGUGGGGAAUAUUGCACAAUGGGCGGAAGCCUGAUGCAGCAACGCCGCGUGCGGGAUGACGGCCUUCGGGUUGUAAACCGCUUUCGCCUGUGACGAAGCGUGAGUGACGGUAAUGGGUAAAGAAGCACCGGCUAACUACGUG
rnacentral:rRNA from 1 species